CCUACGGGAGGCUGCAGUGAGGAAUAUUGGUCAAUGGACGAGAGUCUGAACCAGCCAAGUAGCGUGAAGGAUGACUGCCCUCUGGGUUUUAAACUUCUUUUAUAAAGGAAUAAAACGAGGCACGUUUGCCUUUUUGCAUGUACUUUAUGAAUAAGGAUCGGCUAAAUCCGUGCCAGCAGCCGCGGUAAUACGGAGGAUCCGAGCGUUAACCGGAUUGAUUGGGGUUAAAGGGAGCGUAGACGGGUUGUUAAGUCAGUUGGGAAAGUAGGGGGCUCAACCGUAAAAUGGCAAUUGAAAAUGGGUGGCUUGAGUACAUUGAAGGUAGGCGGCAUUCCUGGUGUAGCGGUGAAAUGCUUAGAUAUCACGCAGAACCCCGAUUGCGAAGGCAGCUUACUAAACUGUGACUGACAUUGAUGCUCGAAAGUGUGGGUAUCAAACAGGAUUAGAUACCCUUGUAGUC
rnacentral:rRNA from 1 species